AACAAGCAGCAACGUUGGAGGAAACCCCAACCUGUCCCUAUUGGGGUCCCUGACCGUCAUCAGGUCUCUAAAUGACAGGGAUGACAUUCUUUCUUCGGCCCUGACAUUUUAUUUAGAAGGAAGAGUGGAUGCACCUCAGACAGUUGCGGGAGGUCAUGGAAGCAUUGGGAUUGCUGGAAGCACUUAAAAAGGACCCAGCGUUGAGGGUGAUGUUUGUUGGAGGUGCUCCUGCCCCACUGCAGCAAUCAUGAUGACCAACCUUUUUAAGGUGGCAUACUCUGUGGCAGGAAGCUCGCUGGCGUUUGGAGGAAGAGAAAGCUGUUGGCCACUGGAGGGACUGGCUCAUUGAUAUUGAGGGUGGAGAUGCUGUCCUGUUUGUGGAGGAUGGACUAGAGCCAGUCAAUGUGACCCUUGAAGAUGUGCUGAUGUUUGCGAAUGGCACAGAACAAAUCCCUUCACCUGGGUUCAAUGAGGUGCAUGCACUGGCUUUUUUAAAUGAGCCAGUUAACAGCAGGAGGAGGGUUUUUCCUGAGGCAAACACCUGCGCUCUGGUCUUGAGGCUGCCAUUACAUGCCUCAUAUGAAGCAUUCUCUGACUGUAUAAUAUCUGGCAUUGUCCAGUCUCCAAAUUUUGGAACUGCCUAAAGAUAAGGGUGAGGUUCCGGCAUGUACUGUAUAUAGUUCUUAUAUGAUGUUUUGUUAAUAUUAUUUAGUUAUGUAGUUUUAUAUAUGUUAGAUAUUAAUGAUUUUUGUUAAUGAGAUAUUGAUAUUGGGUGAAUUGAUUUAUUUGAAAGAUUUUUCCUAUCUGUCUGGUAUUGGAACAGUGUCGGAUUCCCCGUAUCUUUCAAAGGCAUUCAACUGGCGUUGAUGACUAAAGAAACUUGCCACACUAUUAAUAGGAUAAUUUCUUGAAAUUUCUCAAAUGUGCCAGUUUUUGAGCUCUCUGAAAUGUUCACAUUUUUUAAUUUAUCCACAAAAAUUAAAUAUAAAAUUA